rnacentral:rRNA from 1 species
GAUUAAGUUAUUAAGGGCGCACGGUGGAUGCCUUGGCACUAGAAGCCGAUGAAGGACGUUACUAACGACGAUAUGCUUUGGGGAGCUGUAAGUAAGCUUUGAUCCAGAGAUUUCCGAAUGGGGAAACCCAGCAUGAGUUAUGUCAUGUUAUCGAUAUGUGAAUACAUAGCAUAUCAGAAGGCACACCCGGAGAACUGAAACAUCUUAGUACCCGGAGGAAGAGAAAGAAAAUUCGAUUCCCUUAGUAGCGGCGAGCGAAACGGGAAGAGCCCAAACCAACAAGCUUGCUUGUUGGGGUUGUAGGACACUCUAUACGGAGUUACAAAGGACGACAUUAGACGAAUCAUCUGGAAAGAUGAAUCAAAGAAGGUAAUAAUCCUGUAGUCGAAAAUGUUGUCUCUCUUGAGUGGAUCCUGAGUACGACGGAGCACGUGAAAUUCCGUCGGAAUCUGGGAGGACCAUCUCCUAAGGCUAAAUACUCUCUAGUGACCGAUAGUGAACCAGUACCGUGAGGGAAAGGUGAAAAGCACCCCGGAAGGGGAGUGAAAUAGAACCUGAAACCGUGUGCUUACAAGUAGUCAGAGCCCGUUAAUGGGUGAUGGCGUACCUUUUGUAGAAUGAACCGGCGAGUUACGAUUUGAUGCAAGGUUAAGCAGUAAAUGUGGAGCCGUAGCGAAAGCGAGUCUGAAUAGGGCGUUUAGUAUUUGGUCGUAGACCCGAAACCAGGUGAUCUACCCUUGGUCAGGUUGAAGUUCAGGUAACACUGAAUGGAGGACCGAACCGACUUACGUUGAAAAGUGAGCGGAUGAACUAAGGGUAGCGGAGAAAUUCCAAUCGAACCUGGAGAUAGCUGGUUCUCUCCGAAAUAGCUUUAGGGCUAGCCUCAAGUGAUGAUUAUUGGAGGUAGAGCACUGUUUGGACGAGGGGCCCCUCUCGGGUUACCGAAUUCAGACAAACUCCGAAUGCCAAUUAAUUUAACUUGGGAGUCAGAACAUGGGUGAUAAGGUCCGUGUUCGAAAGGGAAACAGCCCAGACCACCAGCUAAGGUCCCAAAAUAUAUGUUAAGUGGAAAAGGAUGUGGCGUUGCCCAGACAACUAGGAUGUUGGCUUAGAAGCAGCCAUCAUUUAAAGAGUGCGUAAUAGCUCACUAGUCGAGUGACACUGCGCCGAAAAUGUACCGGGGCUAAACAUAUUACCGAAGCUGUGGAUUGUCCUUUGGACAAUGGUAGGAGAGCGUUCUAAGGGCGUUGAAGCAUGAUCGUAAGGACAUGUGGAGCGCUUAGAAGUGAGAAUGCCGGUGUGAGUAGCGAAAGACGGGUGAGAAUCCCGUCCACCGAUUGACUAAGGUUUCCAGAGGAAGGCUCGUCCGCUCUGGGUUAGUCGGGUCCUAAGCUGAGGCCGACAGGCGUAGGCGAUGGAUAACAGGUUGAUAUUCCUGUACCACCUAUAAUCGUUUUAAUCGAUGGGGGGACGCAGUAGGAUAGGCGAAGCGUGCGAUUGGAUUGCACGUCUAAGCAGUAAGGCUGAGUAUUAGGCAAAUCCGGUACUCGUUAAGGCUGAGCUGUGAUGGGGAGAAGACAUUGUGUCUUCGAGUCGUUGAUUUCACACUGCCGAGAAAAGCCUCUAGAUAGAAAAUAGGUGCCCGUACCGCAAACCGACACAGGUAGUCAAGAUGAGAAUUCUAAGGUGAGCGAGCGAACUCUCGUUAAGGAACUCGGCAAAAUGACCCCGUAACUUCGGGAGAAGGGGUGCUCUUUAGGGUUAACGCCCAGAAGAGCCGCAGUGAAUAGGCCCAAGCGACUGUUUAUCAAAAACACAGGUCUCUGCUAAACCGUAAGGUGAUGUAUAGGGGCUGACGCCUGCCCGGUGCUGGAAGGUUAAGAGGAGUGGUUAGCUUCUGCGAAGCUACGAAUCGAAGCCCCAGUAAACGGCGGCCGUAACUAUAACGGUCCUAAGGUAGCGAAAUUCCUUGUCGGGUAAGUUCCGACCCGCACGAAAGGCGUAACGAUUUGGGCACUGUCUCAACGAGAGACUCGGUGAAAUCAUAGUACCUGUGAAGAUGCAGGUUACCCGCGACAGGACGGAAAGACCCCGUGGAGCUUUACUGUAGCCUGAUAUUGAAAUUCGGCACAGCUUGUACAGGAUAGGUAGGAGCCUUUGAAACGUGAGCGCUAGCUUACGUGGAGGCGCUGGUGGGAUACUACCCUAGCUGUGUUGGCUUUCUAACCCGCACCACUUAUCGUGGUGGGAGACAGUGUCAGGCGGGCAGUUUGACUGGGGCGGUCGCCUCCUAAAAGGUAACGGAGGCGCUCAAAGGUUCCCUCAGAAUGGUUGGAAAUCAUUCAUAGAGUGUAAAGGCAUAAGGGAGCUUGACUGCGAGACCUACAAGUCGAGCAGGGUCGAAAGACGGACUUAGUGAUCCGGUGGUUCCGCAUGGAAGGGCCAUCGCUCAACGGAUAAAAGCUACCCCGGGGAUAACAGGCUUAUCUCCCCCAAGAGUUCACAUCGACGGGGAGGUUUGGCACCUCGAUGUCGGCUCAUCGCAUCCUGGGGCUGUAGUCGGUCCCAAGGGUUGGGCUGUUCGCCCAUUAAAGCGGUACGCGAGCUGGGUUCAGAACGUCGUGAGACAGUUCGGUCCCUAUCCGUCGUGGGCGUAGGAAAUUUGAGAGGAGCUGUCCUUAGUACGAGAGGACCGGGAUGGACAUACCUCUGGUGUACCAGUUGUCGUGCCAACGGCAUAGCUGGGUAGCUAUGUGUGGACGGGAUAAGUGCUGAAAGCAUCUAAGCAUGAAGCCCCCCUCAAGAUGAGAUUUCCCAACUUCGGUUAUAAGAUCCCUCAAAGAUGAUGAGGUUAAUAGGUUCGAGGUGGAAGCAUGGUGACAUGUGGAGCUGACGAAUACUAAUCGAUCGAAGACUUAAUCAA